rnacentral:rRNA from 1 species
UACGUAGGGGGCUAGCGUUGUCCGGAAUUAUUGGGCGUAAAGAGCUUGUAGGCGGUUUGUCGCGUCUGCUGUGAAAUUUCGGGGCUCAACCCCGAACUUGCAGUGGGUACGGGCAGGCUAGAGUGUGGUAGGGGAGACGUGGAAUUCCUGGUGUAGCGGUGAAAUGCGCAGAUAUCAGGAGGAACACCGAUGGCGAAGGCAGGUCUCUGGGCCACUACUGACGCUGAGGAGCGAAAGCGUGGGGGAGCGAACAGG